ACGGAGAAUUCAGUCGGAUGUUCGUCCGACGGUGUGCGCCCCGCGCGUCGCAUGGUGCGAUGGCGGCGGGGUUGCUGGUGUGGAAGACGUCGUUGGCUUUGCCCUGCCGGUCGUGCGGUGGGUGCCGGGGUGGUAUGGAUGCGCUUUUGGGCUCCCGGAUCGCCACCCCAGGCUUUUUGCCUGGCGCGAUUCGAUGCCCGUCGUGCCUGGGGGCCGGCCGUGUGCCGGCGCGAUGGCGUGGCGGUGCGUGGUGGCUUGAGAACUGGAUAGUGGACGCGAGCAAAACAAGGGUUUUUGAAUCUUUGUUUUGCUGUUGAUUUCGAAUCGAACUCUAUUGUUCGUUUCGAUCGUUUUGUGAUCAUUUUUAGUGUGAUGAUUUGUCGUCUGGGAAUUUGCUAGAGGAAUCUUGCGGCCAUGCACUUUCGUGGUGUGUGUUGCUUGC
rnacentral:misc_RNA from 1 species